rnacentral:rRNA from 1 species
AUGGGCGGAGCAGGCGACGGCGAGGGGGCAGGGAGCGAGUCCCCGCCCUCGGGGGCGCGGGCGACGCUCAACAUCCGGUGCGCCAACGGCGCCAAGUUCACCCUGCAGGCCGACCUGGGCGAGACGGUCGGGGCGUUCAAGGAGGUCGUGGCCGGGAGCUGCGACGUGCCGGCGCCGCAGCAGCGCCUGAUCUACAAGGGCCGGAUCCUCAAGGACGAGCAAACCCUAGAAAGCUACGGUGUUGAGACAGAUCACACCAUUCACUUGGUGCGAGGCGUUGCCCAACCAGCAGCAUCAGGAGCACCUGCUGCAGCAAGCCCCCAAGCUUCAACCACUCCUACCAGUGGCCCUGCAGGUGGUCUUGGAGGCUUAUUUCCAGGCCUUGGUGCUACUGGAGCUGCUAGUGGCAGGCCAGCAGGUUUAUUUGGGGCUGGACUUCCGGAAUUAGAUCAAAUGCAGCAACAGUUGAGCCAGAAUCCCAACCUUAUGAGGGAGAUAAUGAACAUGCCAAUGAUGCAGAGCCUCAUGAAUAACCCUGAUCUAAUACGCAAUAUGAUUAUGAAUAAUCCACAAAUGCGUGAUAUUAUUGAUCGGAAUCCAGAUCUUGCCCAUGUCCUCAAUGAUCCUAGUGUUCUCCGCCAGACCCUUGAAGCUGCAAGAAACCCUGAAAUUAUGAGGGAGAUGAUGCGGAACACAGACAGAGCAAUGAGCAACAUCGAAGCUUCCCCUGAAGGGUUUAAUAUGCUCCGGCGUAUGUAUGAAACUGUACAGGAGCCUUUUCUUAAUGCAACAACAAUGGGAGGGGGUGGGGAAGGCACCCCGGCCUCUAACCCGUUUGCAGCUCUUCUUGGAAAUCAGGGGCCUAACCAAGCCGGCAAUGCUGCUACAAAUGCUCCAACUACCGGCCCAGAGUCCACAACAGGAACCCCUGUUCCAAAUACUAAUCCACUUCCAAACCCCUGGAGCAACAACGCUGGGGGUGCGCAAGGAACACCACGGUCAGGUCCUGCUGCUAGUACCAGGGCUGGUGCAACUGGAGGCCCAGGAGGGCUGGGUUCAGCAGAUUUGAGCAGCCUGCUCGGUGGUCUUGGUGGGAAUGCAAGAACUGGUGCUGCAGGUGGUCUAGGAGGGUUGGGUUCAGCAGAUUUGGGGAGUAUGCUUGGUGGUCCACCUGAUGCUGCUCUUUUGAGUCAGAUGCUGCAAAACCCUGCUAUGAUGCAGAUGAUGCAGAACAUUAUGUCUGACCCACAGUCAAUGAACCAGUUGCUUAGCAUGAACCCAAAUGCACGUAGCCUGAUGGAGUCAAACACUCAGUUGAGGGAUAUGUUCCAAAACCCAGAAUUUCUUCGCCAGAUGGCAUCCCCAGAGGCUUUGCAGCAAUUACUCUCAUUCCAGCAGACACUGUCAUCACAGCUUGGCCAAAAUCAACCUAGCCAGGCUGGUAACCUAGGAGGCAAUGGCACAGGCACGCGGGGAAAUGUUGGCCUGGACACCUUGAUGGGCAUGCUUAGUGGGCUUGGUGCUGGAGGUGGCUUAGGUGUACCAAAUGCCUCCAAUGUGCCACCGGAGGAACUCUAUGCAACGCAACUCGGCCAGCUCCAAGAAAUGGGGUUCUUCGACACCGCAGAGAAUAUCCGGGCGCUGAUGGCCACUUCUGGGAACGUACAUGCUGCUGUGGAGCGCCUUCUCGGGAACUUUGGCCAGUAG